ACGGAAGGCAGCAGUGGGGAAUAUUGCACAAUGGGGGAAACCCUGAUGCAGCGAUGCCGCGUGGAGGAAGAAGGUUUUCGGAUUGUAAACUCCUGUCUUAAGGGACGAUAAUGACGGUACCUUAGGAGGAAGCUCCGGCUAACUACGUGCCAGCAGCCGCGGUAAUACGUAGGGAGCGAGCGUUGUCCGGAAUUACUGGGUGUAAAGGGAGCGUAGGCGGGAUGGCAAGUCAGAUGUGAAAACUAUGGGCUCAGCCCAUAGACUGCAUUUGAAACUGUUGUUCUUGAGUGAAGUAGAGGUAAGCGGAAUUCCUAGUGUAGCGGUGAAAUGCGUAGAUAUUAGGAGGAACAUCGGUGGCGAAGGCGGCUUACUGGGCUUUUACUGACGCUGAGGCUCGAAAGCGUGGGGAGCAAACAGGAUUAGAUACCCUGGUA
rnacentral:rRNA from 1 species